rnacentral:rRNA from 1 species
AGUGAACGCUGGCGGCAGGCCUAAUACAUGCAAGUCGAACGGCCGCACAGUAAGAGUUUGCUUUUACGGGUGGCGAGUGGCGGACGGGUGAGGCAUACAUCGGAUUCUACUUUUUCGUGGGGGAUUACGUAGGGACACUUACGAUAAUACCGCAUAUGUUCUACGGGUUAAUGCAAUGGUUCUUGAGACCUUGCCUGUCUCAUAUAGCUGGUGUCGGAUUAGCUAGUUGGCGGGGUAAAGGCCCACCAAGGCGACGAUCCGUAGCUGGUCUGAGAGGAUGAUCAGCCACACUGGAACUGAGACACGGUCCAGACUCCUACGGGAGGCAGCAGUAGGGAAUAUUGGACAAUGGGCGCAAGCCUGACCCAGCCAUGCCGCGUGAGUGAAGAAGGCCUUCGGAUUGUAAAGCCCUUUUAUUGGGGAAGAAAAGCAGCAGAUGAAUACCCCGCUGUUCCGACGGUACCCAAAGAAUAAGCACCGGCUAACUACGUG